rnacentral:rRNA from 1 species
GACAGAGGGUGCAAACGUUGUUCGGAAUUACUGGGCGUAAAGCGCGUGUAGGCGGCCCUGCAAGUCGGGUGUGAAAUCCCACGGCUCAACCGUGGAAGUGCACUCGAAACUGCAGGGCUAGAGUCCUGGAGAGGAAGGUGGAAUGCUUGGUGUAGAGGUGAAAUUCGUAGAUAUCAAGCGGAACACCGGUGGCGAAGGCGGCACUCUGGGCCGGUACUGACGCUGAGGAGCGAAAGCGUGGGGAGCAAACAGG